rnacentral:rRNA from 1 species
AUAGAACGCUGGCGGCAGGCCUAACACAUGCAAGUCGGACGGUAGCACAGAGGAGCUUGCUCCUUGGGUGACGAGUGGCGGACGGGUGAGUAAUGUCUGGGGAUCUGCCCGAUAGAGGGGGAUAACCACUGGAAACGGUGGCUAAUACCGAAUAACGUCGCAAGACCAAAGAGGGGGACCUUCGGGCCUCUCACUAUCGGAUGAACCCAGAUGGGAUUAGCUAGUAGGCGGGGUAAUGGCCCACCUAGGCGACGAUCCCUAGCUGGUCUGAGAGGAUGACCAGCCACACUGGAACUGAGACACGGUCCAGACUCCUACGGGAGGCAGCAGUGGGGAAUAUUGCACAAUGGGCGCAAGCCUGAUGCAGCCAUGCCGCGUGUAUGAAGAAGGCCUUCGGGUUGUAAAGUACUUUCAGCGGGGAGGAAGGCGGUGAGGUUAAUAACCUUGCCGAUUGACGUUACCCGCAGAAGAAGCACCGGCUAACUCCGUGCCAGCAGCCGCAGUAA